AUUGAACGCUGGCGGCAUGCCUUACACAUGCAAGUCGAACGGCAGCACGGGUGCUUGCACCUGGUGGCGAGUGGCGAACGGGUGAGUAAUACAUCGGAACAUGUCCUGUAGCGGGGGAAAGCCCGGCGAAAGCGGGAUUAAUACCGAAAACGAUCUACGGACGAAAGGGGGGGCCCUUGGUGCCUCGCCCUAUAGGGUUGGCGGAUACCUGAUUAGCUAGUGGGUGGGGUAAAGUCCUACCAAGGGGACGACCAGAAUCCGGUCGGAGCGGACGACCAGCCACCCUGGGACUGAGCCACGGCCCAGACUCCUACGGGAGGCAGCAGUGGGGAAUUUUGGACAAUGGGCGAAAGCCUGAUCCAGCAAUGCCGCGUGUGUGAAGAAGGCCUUCGGGUUGUAAAGCACUUUUGUCCGGAAAGAAAUCCUUGGCUCUAAUACAGUCGGGGGAUGACGGUACCGGAAGAAUAAGCACCGGCUAACUACGUG
rnacentral:rRNA from 1 species